rnacentral:rRNA from 1 species
CAGUCGCCGCGGUAAUACCGAGGGUGCGAGCGUUAAUCGGAUUUACUGGGCGUAAAGCGUGCGUAGGCGGCUUCUUAAGUCGGAUGUGAAAUCCCUGAGCUUAACUUAGGAAUUGCAUUCGAUACUGGGAAGCUAGAGUAUGGGAGAGGAUGGUAGAAUUCCAGGUGUAGCGGUGAAAUGCGUAGAGAUCUGGAGGAAUACCGAUGGCGAAGGCAGCCAUCUGGCCUAAUACUGACGCUGAGGUACGAAAGCAUGGGGAGCAAACAGGAUUAGAUACCCGAGUAGUCCCUGUCUCUUAUAA